rnacentral:rRNA from 1 species
UGACGGGCCGCACAAGCGGUGGAGCAUUGUGGUUUAAUUCGACGCAACGCGAAGAACCUUACCAGGGCUUGACAUCCCCUGACCGCGUAUGAAAGUACGUUUUCACCCUCGGGUGACAGGGAGACAGGUGGUGCAUGGUUGUCGUCAGCUCGUGUCGUGAGAUGUUGGGUUAAGUCCCGCAACGAGCGCAACCCCUACGUUUAGUUGCUAACAGGUGAAGCUGAGCACUCUAGACGAACUGCCGUUGACAAAACGGAGGAAGGUGGGGAUGACGUCAAAUCAUCAUGCCCCUUACGUUCUGGGCUACACACGUGCUACAAUGGCCGGUACAGACGGAGGCGAAGCCGCGAGGCGGAGCAAAUCCGAAAAAGCCGGUCUCAGUUCGGAUUGCAGGCUGCAAUUCGCCUGCAUGAAGUCGGAAUCGCUAGUAAUCGCAGGUCAGCAUACUGCGGUGAAUACGUUCCCGGGCCUU